rnacentral:lncRNA from 1 species
AUUCUUUUCGUUCUUUUCAACUUUUUCCUCCUCACUCCACUCCCCCACUUCACCAUCAAUAUUAUCCUCCAAUAUUUCCUCCUCAUUUUCUUCUUUUUCCUUUCUUUGUUCACUCUCAUCUCUUUUUUUAUUCUCACUAGUCAACUCCCUCCCACUUCUUGUCGUGAUCGCUUUACAAUGUUCCUUAGGAUUUGUUUACGUGUUCGCCGAAAAAGAAGGACCGGGUUGUUGUUCCGCUAGUUGCUUAGCGAGUUGUCCAACUUGAGUCUCG